rnacentral:rRNA from 1 species
AGAGUUUGAUCAUGGCUCAGAAUGAACGCUGGCGGCGUGCUUAACACAUGCAAGUCGUACGAGAACUCUUCUGCUUGCAGAAGAUAGUAAAGUGGCGCACGGGUGAGUAACGCGUGGGUAAUCUGCCUCUGAAUCGGGGAUAACCCGCCGAAAGGCGAGCUAAUACCGGAUAACAUCUUUAAAACUUAGGUUUUUUAGAUCAAAGGUGGUCUCUACAUGUAAGCUACUGUUUGGAGAUGAGCCCGCGUACCAUUAGCUUGUUGGUAGGGUAAUGGCCUACCAAGGCCACGAUGGUUAGCUGGUCUGAGAGGAUGAUCAGCCACACUGGAACUGACACACGGUCCAGACUCCUACGGGAGGCAGCAGUGAGGAAUUUUGCGCAAUGGGGGAAACCCUGACGCAGCAACGCCGCGUGAGUGAUGAAGGCUUUCGGGUCGUAAAGCUCUGUCAAGUGGGAAGAAUCUGCUCGAUGAUAACACCAUCUGGCACUGACGGUACCACUAAAGGAAGCACCGGCUAACUCCGUGCCAGCAGCCGCGGUAAUACGGGGGGUGCAAGCGUUAUUCGGAAUUAUUGGGCGUAAAGGGCGCGUAGGCGGUCUCUAAAGUCAGAUGUGAAAGCCCGGGGCUUAACCCCCGGAAGUGCAUUUGAAACUUAGGGACUUGAGUAUGGGAGAGGGAAGUGGAAUUCCUGGUGUAGCGGUGAAAUGCGUAGAUAUCAGGAGGAACACCAGUGGCGAAGGCGACUUCCUGGACCAAUACUGACGCUGAGGCGCGAAGGCGUGGGGAGCAAACAGGAUUAGAUACCCUAGUAGUCC